rnacentral:tRNA from 1 species
GCCCGCGUGGUGUAGCCCGGUCAGCAUGGCGGCCUGUCGAGCCGCAGAUCCCGGGUUCAAAUCCCGGCGCGGGCGCCA